rnacentral:rRNA from 1 species
AUUGAACGCUGGCGGCAGGCCUAACACAUGCAAGUCGAGCGGAUGAAGGGAGCUUGCUCCUGGAUUCAGCGGCGGACGGGUGAGUAAUGCCUAGGAAUCUGCCUGGUAGUGGGGGAUAACGUCCGGAAACGGGCGCUAAUACCGCAUACGUCCUGAGGGAGAAAGUGGGGGAUCUUCGGACCUCACGCUAUCAGAUGAGCCUAGGUCGGAUUAGCUAGUUGGUGGGGUAAAGGCCUACCAAGGCGACGAUCCGUAACUGGUCUGAGAGGAUGAUCAGUCACACUGGAACUGAGACACGGUCCAGACUCCUACGGGAGGCAGCAGUGGGGAAUAUUGGACAAUGGGCGAAAGCCUGAUCCAGCCAUGCCGCGUGUGUGAAGAAGGUCUUCGGAUAGUAAAGCACUUUAAGUUGGGAGGAAGGGCAGUAAGUUAAUACCUUGCUGUUUUGACGUUACCAACAGAAUAAGCACCGGCUAACUUCGUG